rnacentral:rRNA from 1 species
AUGAGUGCGAACGGGGGAAAUACGUGAGUAACCUGCCCUUGACUCUGGGAUAAGCCUGGGAAACUGGGUCUAAUACUGGAUAGACAUGUCACCGCAUGGUGGUGUGUGGAAAGGGUUUUACUGGUUUUGGAUGGGCUCACGGCCUAUCAGCUUGUUGGUGGGGUAAUGGCUCACCAAGGCGACGACGGGUAGCCGGCCUGAGAGGGUGACCGGCCACACUGGGACUGAGACACGGCCCAGACUCCUACGGGAGGCAGCAGUGGGGAAUAUUGCACAAUGGGCGGAAGCCUGAUGCAGCGACGCCGCGUGAGGGAUGACGGCCUUCGGGUUGUAAACCUCUUUCAGCACGGAAGAAGCGAAAGUGACGGUACGUGCAGAAGAAGCGCCGGCUAACUACGUGC